CAUAAAGUGGCCUGGGAACUUCCGCUGGAGCUGAUAACCUAGAGAAAAUGAGUCACAAAGGUCUGAAUUAAGAGCUAGAAGGAACAUUAGAGAGUGUCAUCAUGACAGUGCCUUGCAGAGCACGUAAAAUGUUGCAAACCACUUAUUCACAUACCUGCAGUGUACACAUUUUACCCCAUUAUGUUCCAAAGUUAAAUAUUUAAGGUGGAAUAUAUAUACAUACUGACAUUUACUACAGAAUUAUAUGAGACACGUGGUAAAUCAUUUGUAUGUAGCAUCUCAAUCCUCACAAUAACUGUAUAAUUAUUUAGCACUUAUUAUACAAGUAAUUUUACUUGUGGACUUGCCAUGCCCAAACAGAGACUUAGAGUCAUGAUAGCCCAGUGGCAAAGUGUGUGGGCUCUGGAGUGAGAAGAGCUGGACGUGCAUCCCUGCUCUGCCACGGCCUAGUUCUUUGAGCUUGUGCAGUUACCCAAGCCUCCCGGAGCCCCAUUCCCUUGUAUAUAAAAUAAAUAAAAUCAUAUCACCCUCCUCAUCACAUUAGGAAGGAUCACUGAGAUAAUCCAAAGAAAUGUUUAGGAUAGUGUCUGGUAUGUGAAACAUGCAAGAGGAAUAUUAACUAUUAUUGUUAAGUAACUUACCCAAGAACACAUGGCUAGUAAUGAGUGGGAAUUGAACCCCAGCCUGCCUGAAUGCAAAGCCGUGAUGCUCCGUGCUUGAUUACUCCCUCUUUUCUCUCUCUAGAGCUUUGUGUUACCUUCAUUCUAUCAGGUGAGAAACUUGAGAUGCCAGGAGGUUUAAGAACUUGCUCAGGGCCACAAGGUUGCUUUGACAGGGACCACAGGAGAACCUAGGUCUUUUGAUCCCAACUAGAAUUUCUUGCUCUUCAUGACGUCACCCUGCCUCCCUAAUCUGUGGGCAACUCUGCUGUACAUUCAGGAAAAACAGCGUCCAGAAAGGCUAAGCAACUUCUCUGGUGAUGUCCAAUUAUUAAGUGGCAAAGCUGGCACUGGCACCUAGGUCUCAGCUCUCCUCAUUGUCUCUCAAAUAUUCUUUCCUAUGCAGUCCACUUCAUCACGUCUCAGAGAUCCUGAGUGGAGAAAAGUGAACAGAGAUAGAGACAGGCAAAGAAACAAACACAGAAAUAGAGACAAGCAGAGGAGUAAAGACAGAAAGAAAAAAUAUAGAGAAAGAGGUCUGUAAGCUAAGAACAUCUUUUAAUCUCUUUUCUUCCGGGAGGUCCUUAAAAUGAUGAAAAUUUGGUAACUUUUAGGAAGAGGAGAAUGAAAAAUAAUAUGAUACCAACUGCUUGUGCAGUUCUUUAGCAAGUCUGGAUAAAUUUGAAGAAGUAGUGAAAUCACUGAACACUGAGAGGGAAAUUGUGGCUCUGUCACUCUGAAAAUUGUUCAAACACUUACCCUCUAUACCUCAUAGAGAAAGCCGAUGCUGUGGUGAGCAUUAUUCAGGUGCCCUUGUGCAAUUGAAGAUGUGAGAAUCAACUAAUUAAACACUCAGAACUGUGAAGACAAGCAUUUUGCAAAUGCAGGCUCCCAUUACUUCUCGGAGUUACCAUGAUCUCACCUGGACCUGCUGAACAUCAAAGGUGUCCUAAACAGGAGAGGCAAAGAUUUCUAAGCUUUUGCCUGCCUUGAUGCAGAGCUUACCAAAAUGGUGAGGAGAAGCAAGGAUCUGGGUAAGCCAGGACAUCAAACUACCUCAUUGGAAAAUAAAACUUGGGGGCUUGAGUUAUAUCUCACCGGAAUUUUCCUGUUGAUCUGACACUCAUGAUUUAUCUUUAAUUGGUACUUACAAAAUGCUCCAUUAAGCAGCACUACUCACUGUUUUUCACAUACAAGUGCACGUCCUCACCCCUUUGUCUAUGCUUAUAUUUAUUUCUUGGCCUGACAUGCCCUUUCUGCUCAGACCCACCCCAGUCCCGAAUCCUUCUAUCAGGGCUCAGUUAAGAUACCCCUUCUGCACAAGGAGACACUGUCCCACUAGCUGGAUUCAGUCUCUCCCUUCUCUGAUGUGCAUACCAUCUUCAAGUUUCUUGUGGCUCUUGUAACUUUGUUUUUCAUGGAACUUUACAAAGAACACAAAAACAGUGAUAGUCCAUGCCAAGGAAAUAAAAGAUGUGGUUUAUUUUACAUGUAAUUCAAUGAAUGUGGACUUACUAUGCCCAGAGGCCCCUCCUGGCUAACAGUCCUGCCAGGGACUGACCCAGUUCAGGGAACAAAGUCAGCUAUUUUUUACAAGAGGUAGCCACUGGCUGGAUCAGAGCAAGUAUCUAACCCAAGAACGGCUUGCUCAUUGUCCAGCUAGAGAGUUAUUCAUUCAUUCAAUAAAUAUUAUUUGAGUGGUUAUUGUAUGUCCAUCAUGUAGUAAUGUGUCUUUUUCUAGACACUGGAAAUACAGCUGCAAACAGAACAGGAUCUCUUCCCUCUUGGAGUUUACAGUCUUCAGUAGACUGCAAUAAACAAAAAUAAUAAUACAUUUAUAAUACAUUAAUUCUAAGUACUUUGGAAAAAGAGAAAGCAGAGUAAGGGAUUUAAAGGCUCAUGGGAGGGAAGAAGGAUACCAUUAUAUCUAAAUGGCCAGAGAAAGCCUCUCUCAUAAAGCAACAUUUGAGCAGAAACCUAAAGGAGAUGAAGAAGUGAGCAUGAUAAUUUUGUGUGUCAACUUGACUGGGGUAUGGGGUACCCAGAUAUUUGGUCAAACAUUAUUCUGGAUAUUUCUAUGAGAGUGUUUUUUGAUGAGUUAACAUUUGAGUCAGUAGACUGAGUAAAGCAGAUUGCCCUCUCUAAUGUAGGUGAGCCACAUCCAAUCAGUUGAAGGCCUGAAUGGAACACAAGGGCUGAGCCUCCCCCAGUAACAGAAACUUCCUCCUGCCUGACUGCCUUUGAGGUGGGGAAUCAGUUUUUCUUGCCUGCAGAGCUGAACUGAAACAUCAGCUCUUCUGCAUCUCCAGUUUGCUGACCACAUAUUGGGACUUGUCAGUCUUCAUAAUUGCAUGAGCCAAUUACUUACCAAACAUCUCCUUCUCUCUAUUCAUGCAUCCUGUUGGUUUUGUUUCUCUGGAGAACCUGACUAAUGUUGUGAUCCAUGUGGGUAAUUAGAGGAGCGAUUCAGGCAGUGGAGAUAGUAAGAGCAAAUAUCAAGAGGCAGGUGUGGGCUGUUGUGGGUGGGGAAUUGCUGGGUGGAGUGCAUGGGAGGUGUGGAAAGCAACAAAGGACAAGGCCGGAGAGUCACAGGAACCCAAUGGCGGAGGUCCACGAAGGCCGUAAGGAAGACUGAGUUCCACUCUGCAUAAGAUGAGGAUUCCCUGAAGGGUUUUGAGCAGAGGAACAACAUGAUCUGACAUAUGUUUAAAGGUCUCUGGCAGAGGUGAAAGCAAGGGGAUUGGCUAAGAGGCUGUUAGAAUGACCUGAGAGAGAGAUGAUGGUGCUUGAAGCAGAAUGGAGGUGGUGGAGUUGGUGAACAGUUGUUGAUUUCUAGAUGUAGUUUGAAGCCAAGAGUAUCUGAAAGUGGAUUGGAUAUGGUGUGGGAUCAGGGAAAUCUCUCCAAGUGAUUUAGCCUGAGCAUCUGGAGGAAUGGAAGUGCCAUUUGCUGAGGUGGGUUGAAGGAAGCAUAGGUGUGGGGGUGAGGGUCAGGAUCUAGUCUGAGCUGCCACUGGACUUUAAGAACAGGCUGUUGGAUAUGUGAGGAUGGAGGUGCGGGAGGAGGCCCUGGCUGGAGGUGUAAAUUUGGGAGUCAUCAGUAUAUAUGAUGUUUAAAUCAUAAAACUGGAUGAGAUCAUCAAAAGGGAGUGAGAGAAAGAAUGGGAGAGGGCCAAGGACUGAGCCCCGAGGCCCUUCCAACAGGGAGAUCAGCGUUCUUCCAUGCAAGGGUUUCAACUCAUUAGUGGAUUAUGAAAUCACUUUGGUGGAUAAUGAGCAGUACUUCUAAUUGGAUAGAAAAGAAUGGAAAAUAUCAGAGUAAUUUGAAUGUAACAUUGUUUCAUAAAACGUUUUUCAGUUAUAUAUGUUUCUAAAAUGUGUUUAUAUAUAUGUGGGUGUGUGUGAUUGUAUAUCUGUGUGUUUGUGUCUGCUAUGUGUGUGAAUUUACAGCUUUACCUUAUGACAUGUAUGUAUACAUGCAACUGGUUAUAAUACAUGCUUUUUUACGACGAAAAAAAAUAAUUUUUUUCAAAUGUAGACAUCACCAUUUUCAAGGGCCAGUGAGGUAUCCUAGCAGCUGAGCUCUGCCUUCCUGGGGAAGUGAAGAUGAGCAAACCAUUCUCACUUGCCCCUUUGGGUAUGGACUAGGGAAGUAGGGAGAGCUGGCCAGUCAGCACAAGGGAAGACUGAAGCAGGCAAGCUGAGAGCAUGGAAGUCUCCACAAAAGAGAAACAAAAAGUCAGAAUGCCUACUCCCUGCAGCCACCUUUAUUUCUGCCAGCUUCUGGCUCCAUUUCAGGUCAUGCAUAGCACAUGGGUUUAUGCACAAAGACCUAUUUUUGGUAUCUUCCUUAAAGCAAUCAAGCAAGCUGAUCCCAGUAAAGGGGUAAACCCAGCAACUAAGUUCACUUCUUGACCGCUCCAUUUUCGUAUCUGUAAGGUAAUGCUAAUACUAUCUUUUUGGGAAGGUUAUGAGGAUUAAAAAGUCAUUUGAUCUCUACCAAAUGCUCAGCAAAUGCUUCAUGGAAGACAAGCCAGCUGCUGCUCUUCUGUGCCCUGCAGUUUUCCUCCCACACUCUGCCUCAGCAUCAAUCUCGUUGGCAGCACAGCCCACCCUCUGGGCGAGCCCAAGGCCUCUUCCACCCUCCAGAGAAGAGCCCUGAAAUGACCCACGCA
rnacentral:lncRNA from 10 species